AAACUCAAUCGCCUCUUCUAGUUGGAAUGCAUGGUGAGAGGUUGAUCCUUGACGAGCUCCCAAUCGGUGAAUGAAGCAGCGUUUGAUAGAUUGAAGCUUAAAUCAUACAGAGCAUCGACGUACGGAUCUUCGUCGUGCAGUGGUGGAGAACGACAACGCCAGUGUCUACCUCACGCAAUGGUGGUGGUGACGGUGAGGCUUGGAUAUCCCUUCUUUACCUCAAAGCUUUCUCUUUGAAGUUCUUCUCCUUCGCCGUUCCAAUCUGGGUUUUUUCGCCGUCUUCGAAUUAGGGUUUUUCGUCGUGGGUUCCGCCUUUUCUCUACAGUACCCGUUUCGCUCCUAUUUAUAUCAACAAUUUAGGGUUUCAGGUUGGCUUAUGGAGAUCGAAUGGGCAUCUCUGCGAAGUCCUUUCGGUAUGCUCAGAUUUUGAUCGCCCUAUUUGAGGUUUGGUCCGGAACGUGAAUUUUGACACUUAGCAGGAGCCUACGGUGAAAUUGGUGCUUUCUAGCCUAUUGGUUUUGUUAGUUAUUUGCUUGAUUUGGUGCAGGUUGGUUUUCUUGAUUUCACUUGGUUUUGUUCAUACCGUGCAGGUUAACCAUUUGCCUUGGAAGUUAUGUUAGAGGCUGUUAUGGAGUUUUUGGUUUUGUACGGUGUUCGACAAAUGAUGUCGCCCCCGGGUUUGUAGCUUGCACAAACUGCUGCUUAAGGUAAUCAAAAUUAAGUGAAGUUUCUCAGAUAACGCUGCCAAUGGAAAAUUUUCUGUUGGAGAUUAGGAAAAGAUUGCAGGUAGCGUAUGGUUGUUACGGUUGCAGAAUGAAGGGUGCAAAACAGAAUGAAGAGAUAAGAGAAAGAGAACGAUUGAAAAAGUGAAGAAAACUCGUGGCUCAAGCCAAUGAUGAGAACUACCAAUUUAUAGAGUUUCUAUGAAGUGAUUUCGUUAACCCUGCUAAUCUCUUCUCCCACCAAAUUUGUUAACCGUCGAAACUCUGUUAGUUAGUUUGUUAAAUUGAUUAUUCUGUUAAAAUUCUGUUGACAAUCUCAAAUGGCUUUUGAUUCUCUAUGAUGAAUAUAAUGAUAUGUUGAAUA